AGUCGAGCGGCAGCGCGGUAGCAAUACUGGCGGCGAGCGGCGGACGGGUGAGUAACGCUUGGGAAUCUGCCUAUUAGUGGGGGACAACCCGGGGAAACUCGGGCUAAUACCGCAUACGCUCUACGGAGGAAAGCCGGGGACCGCAAGGCCUGGCGCUAAUAGAUGAGCCCAAGUCGGAUUAGCUAGUUGGUAGGGUAAUGGCCUACCAAGGCGACAAUCCGUAGCUGGUCUGAGAGGACGACCAGCCACACCGGAACUGAGACACGGUCCGGACUCCUACGGGAGGCAGCAGUGGGGAAUAUUGGACAAUGGGGGAAACCCUGAUCCAGCGACGCCGCGUGGGUGAAGAAGGCCUGCGGGUUGUAAAGCCCUUUCGGUGAGGAAGAAAAGUUGCGACCUAACACGUCGCGACCUUGACGUAACUCAUUAAAGAAGCACCGGCUAACUCUGUGCCAGCAGCCGCGGUAAUACAGAGGGUGCGAGCGUUAAUCGGAAUUACUGGGCGUAAAGCGCGCGUAGGCGGCUUUGCAAGUCGGGUGUGAAAUCCCCAGGCCUAACCUGGGAACUGCACUCGAGACUGCAUGGCUAGAGUAUCGGAGAGGGAAGUGGAAUUUCAGGUGUAGCGGUGAAAUGCGUAGAUAUCUGAAGGAACAUCAGUGGCGAAAGCGACUUCCUGGACGAAUACUGACGCUCAUGUGCGAAAGCGUGGGGAGCAAACAGGAUUAGAUACCCUGGUAGUCCACGCCAUAAACGAUGAGAACUGGAUGUCGGGGAGAGUUUGUCUCUCGGUGUCGUAGCUAACGCG
rnacentral:rRNA from 1 species